GAUGAACGCUAGCGGCAGGCUUAACACAUGCAAGUCGAGGGGUAACAGGGAGAAGCUUGCUUUUCCGCUGACGACCGGCGCACGGGUGCGUAACGCGUAUAGAACCUACCUUUUACAGAGGAAUAGCCCAGAGAAAUUUGGAUUAAUGCCUCAUAGUAUUAUAGAAUGGCAUCAUUUUAUAAUUAAACAUUUAUGGGUAAAAGAUGGCUAUGCGUUCUAUUAGCUAGUUGGUAAGGUAACGGCUUACCAAGGCUACGAUAGAUAGGGGUCCUGAGAGGGAGAUCCCCCACACUGGUACUGAGACACGGACCAGACUCCUACGGGAGGCAGCAGUGAGGAAUAUUGGACAAUGGAGGCAACUCUGAUCCAGCCAUGCCGCGUGCAGGAAGACGGCCCUAUGGGUUGUAAACUGCUUUUAUAUAGGAAGAAACCUUUCCACGUGUGGAAAGCUGACGGUACUAUAAGAAUAAGCACCGGCUAACUCCGUGCCAGCAGCCGCGGUAAUACGGAGGGUGCAAGCGUUAUCCGGAAUCAUUGGGUUUAAAGGGUCCGUAGGCGGACUAAUAAGUCAGGGGUGAAAUCCAACAGCUUAACUGUUGAACUGCCUUUGAUACUGUUAGUCUUGAAUUAUAUGGAAGUAGAUAGAAUGUGUAGUGUAGCGGUGAAAUGCUUAGAGAUUACACAGAAUACCGAUUGCGAAGGCAGUCUACUACGUAUAUA
rnacentral:rRNA from 1 species